CAGUAGCCACGGUAAUACGUAGGGUGCAAGCGUUAAUCGGAAUUACUGGGCGUAAAGCGUGCGCAGGCGGUUUUGUAAGACAGAGGUGAAAUCCCCGGGCUCAACCUGGGAACUGCCUUUGUGACUGCAAGGCUAGAGUACGGCAGAGGGGGAUGGAAUUCCGCGUGUAGCAGUGAAAUGCGUAGAUAUGCGGAGGAACACCGAUGGCGAAGGCAAUCCCCUGGGCCUGUACUGACGCUCAUGCACGAAAGCGUGGGGAGCAAACAGGAUUAGAUACCCGCGUAGUCCCUGUCUCUUAUAC
rnacentral:rRNA from 1 species